rnacentral:rRNA from 1 species
CGGACGGGUGAGUAACGCGUGGGUAACCUGCCUUGUACUGGGGGACAACAGUUGGAAACGACUGCUAAUACCGCAUAAGCGCACAGCUUCGCAUGAAGCAGUGUGGAAAACUCCGGUGGUACAAGAUGGACCCGCGUCUGAUUAGCUGGUUGGUGAGGUAACGGCCCACCAAGGCGACGAUCAGUAGCCGGCCUGAGAGGGUGAACGGCCACAUUGGGACUGAGACACGGCCCAAACUCCUACGGGAGGCAGCAUG